UGGGGAAUCUUGCACAAUGGGGGAAACCCUGAUGCAGCGACGCCGCGUGAGCGAUGAAGCCCUUCGGGGCGUAAAGCUCUUUCGACAGGAACGAUAAUGACGGUACCUGGAGAAGAAGCUGCGGCUAACUACGUGCCAGCAGCCGCGGUAAUACGUAGGCAGCAAGCGUUGUUCGGAGUUACUGGGCGUAAAGAGUGCGUAGGCGGUCUGGCAAGUUCGGGUGUGAAAUCUCCCGGCUUAACUGGGAGGGUGCGCCGAAGACUGUUGGGCUGGAGUGUGGGAGAGGCAGGCGGAAUUCCUGGUGUAGCGGUGAAAUGCGUAGAUAUCAGGAGGAACACCGGUGGUGUAGGCGGCUUGCUGGACCAUAACUGACGCUGAGGCACGAAAGCGUGGGGAGCAAACAGGAUUAGAUACCCUGGUAGUCCACGCCCUAAACGAUGCAGACUUGGUGUAGGCCAUUCAGUUGGUCUGUGCCGGAGCUAACGCGUUAAGUCUGCCGCCA
rnacentral:rRNA from 1 species